rnacentral:tRNA from 1 species
AACUUAACUAAUAACAGUAACGGAUUGAAAAUCCUUGUGUCAACAGUUCAAUUCUGUUCCGGGCCACCA